CAGUCGUACCUUCGGGUAAUCAGCCUUUCGGGUGCGAUUCUGUGGAGUUUGAGGAGCUUAACACCUUCAUGCUUUUGCGUAUUCGUGCCCUUGGGUGUACUUGCCCGUGUGGUUGGUUAACAUCAAUUUCGGGCACCAUAAAAUGAUUGGAGGAAUGUAGCUUUGGUCUCGUAUCGAAGUGUUAUAGACUCGUGGUAGAUGUGAUGA
rnacentral:rRNA from 1 species